rnacentral:rRNA from 1 species
GUAGGUGGCAAGCGUUGUCCGGAAUUAUUGGGCGUAAAGCGCGCGCAGGCGGUUCUUUAAGUCUGAUGUGAAAGCCCACGGCUCAACCGUGGAGGGUCAUUGGAAACUGGAGAACUUGAGUACAGAAGAGGAAAGCGGAGUUCCACGUGUAGCGGUGAAAUACGUAGAGAUGUGGAGGAACACCAGUGGCGAAGGCGGCUUUCUGGUCUGUAACUGACGCUGAGGCGCGAAAGCGUGGGGAGCAAACAGGGAUUAGAUACCCUGGUAGUCCACGCCGUAAACGAUGAGUGCUAAGUGUUAGGGGGUUUCCGCCCCCUUAGUGCUGCAGCUAACGCAUUAAGCACUCCGCCUGGGGAGUACGGCCGCAAGGCUG